CCUACGGGUGGCUGCAGUGGGGAAUCUUGGACAAUGGGCGCAAGCCUGAUCCAGCCAUGCCGCGUGAGUGAAGAAGGUCUUCGGAUUGUAAAGCUCUUUUGCCAGGGACGAUAAUGACGGUACCUGGAGAAUAAGCCCCGGCAAACUUCGUGCCAGCAGCCGCGGUAAUACGAAGGGGGCUAGCGUUGUUCGGAAUUACUGGGCGUAAAGCGCACGUAGGCGGACUAUUAAGUCAGGGGUGAAAUCCCGGAGCUCAACUCCGGAACUGCCUUUGAUACUGGUAGUCUAGAGAUCGGAAGAGGUUAGUGGAAUUCCCAGUGUAGAGGUGAAAUUCGUAGAUAUUGGGAAGAACACCAGUGGCGAAGGCGGCUAACUGGUCCGAUACUGACGCUGAGGUGCGAAAGCGUGGGGAGCAAACAGGAUUAGAUACCCCAGUAGUC
rnacentral:rRNA from 1 species